UUUUUAAAAAACGAACUUUUUAUGGUCAGUAUAUAUAAGUUAUAUCUUCCUUCUACUGUAGCUGUUCUUGGUUGGUGGUUUUGAGGUUUCCACAUCACAUCACUUGUACUGCCUGCCACAGACACGCUUCUUGCAGAAGUGGAGUAAACAUGAUCGGAGUCCUGCUGUGGCCCAUAGUGAACCUCCUUAGUGCUGUUGCACAGGUCAGUGCGGAUCAUGGAGGUCGGGCAGAUCAAGCUGAGGAGCAGACGUUUGUGUCACAUUCCUCACGUGGCCUUCGCAGACGAUGUGUGUCUGCACAGACAGGACUAAAUGUACAACCCUUGGUGCCUCUGGAGAACUGGCUGCUCAUGGUCAUGUGUGGACUUUUCUGCUUAUCUUAUGUUAAUAGAAAUCAUAGUCUUGUGUUUU